CUGGGACCCUGCACCACGAGGCUUCUCCAUUGACACCACGUGGCAUAGUCUUUACAGAUGCAACAAGGAAACCGUAUCCCAUGUGCAGGGCAGCAGGUAGACCAGCCGCAGCAACCGAGAUGGGAGCAGACAGCAAAGCUGGUGGAUCACCCAUAAAAACCCAGAAACACAGCUCUAUCAGCAAGCUCUUUAUUUGGAGAUUGGCUCUCCCACAAUGGUACGUUCUAACUGGCAAGGACAUCAACCCUCCAUGCACAAGGCAGGACUCCUUUCUUCCAGUCCAGUUUCUUCUUCCAGCAUGUCUGACGCUCUUACGCAGCCUUGUAGGAGGUAAAUGGGAAGGUGGGCUGGUCUCCACACUUGCUUUCUUAAUUCUUGAUCAUCUUCUCUGUUUUUUCUUGUGUUUGUAUGAAAGACUUAUAAAUCAGGGGACCUAUAAAACUGGUGGUCACUGCCUUGUUUCACCCCUGCUGUCAGCUAGUUCUUAUCUGCAACACUGGGAACUUGUUGGCACACAUUUCAGGCAGAAGUGCUAAAGCUAACUACGCUCCUACAGGUCCCACUUUGUCUAGGAGUCAGAGGAGUUAUGACAGCUGGGCCCACCUCUGAAUGAUCUAUUAAUUUUGCUUGGGCUAACAGGGAGGUACUGGUACUGGGGUAAGCUUGACUGAAUGGCUCGAAACAAGAUUGCUGCCCUAAUACAAUGAGGAGGAGAAGAAUGGAAGAGCCAAUGCUUAGCUAAUCAGUCAUGUUCCCCAUUAGAUGAGAAUAAGUUUGCAUGCUGCUGUUGGCCUGGCGUAGGGUGGGACCGCUUGCUAGGUCACCUCCUUUAUUGCAGAACAGUGGAAGCCAUGUUCUGCAAUGGUGGUCCUUCCUGUCCUAUUGAAAGGAACUGACUUCUUCCUCUCAGCACUUAAGCAAGCUGGCAGUGUUACUGGCUAAGGAGAAAGAAGUUUCUUAUGCAAGAUUUGGCAGCUUAGAAUCAUAAGACUACUACAUUAUUGUGGCACCAGGUGGAAAGGGACUUACUGGCUACCGAUAAGAUAUACUGGGGCAAGGGGAAA